rnacentral:rRNA from 1 species
GACGUAGGGGGCAAGCGUUGUCCGGAUUCAUUGGGCGUAAAGAGCUCGUAGGCGGCUUGGCAAGUCAGAUGUGAAACCCUCAGGCUUAACCUGGGGCCGCCAUCUGAUACUGCUAUGGCUAGAGUCCGGUAGGGGAUCGUGGAAUUCCUGGAGUAGCGGUGAAAUGCACAGAUCUCAGGAGGAACACCAGUGGCGAAGGCGGCGAUCUGGGCCGGUACUGACGCUGAGGAGCGAAAGCGUGGGGAGCAAACAGG